CAUUACUGAACUGUCNACACGAGUUGUUGCUGGUCCUCAAACGGGGGCAUGUGCACACUCUGUUUACACACCCACUCACACCUGUGCACCCUCUGUAGUUCUGUGGUGUGGGGGACUCUGUCCUCCCGCUGUGGUUCUAUGUCUUUACACACACACUGUAAUAAAGUCUCAUGGAAUGUGUACCGCGUCUAACGCAAUACAAUACAACUUUCAGCAACGGAUCUCUUGGCUCUCGCAUCGAUGAAGAACGCAGCGAAAUGCGAUAAGUAAUGUGAAUUGCAGAAUUCAGUGAAUCAUCGAAUCUUUGAACGCACCUUGCGCCCUUUGGCUAUUCCGAAGGGCAUGCCUGUUUGAGUAUCAUGAACACCUCAACUCCUC
rnacentral:misc_RNA from 1 species